UACGUAGGUGGCAAGCGUUGUCCGGAUUUACUGGGCGUAAAGAGCGCGCAGGCGGCUGGUCAAGUCCGAUGUGAAAUCUCCCGGCUUAACUGGGAAACUGCAUCGGAAACUGAUCGGCUUGAAGGUGGGAGAGGGUAGUGGAAUUCCCGGUGUAGUGGUGAAAUGCGUAGAUAUCAGGAGGAAUACCGAUGGCGAAGGCAGGUCUCUGGGCUGACACUGACGCUCAUGCACGAAAGCGUGGGGAGCAAACAGG
rnacentral:rRNA from 1 species